GCUUCAGCAGACGGGCGCCACCACCCACGGCCACCAGGGGACGCCCAGUGCCAUCACGCCCAGGUCUCCAGGGGAAGAGAGAUGAAUCAUUUGCAUCCCGUAGAUGGGAUGUGACCAGCUUUUGAUCUACUGGAUAAAAGGAUAGGCUUUGAUCUGUCCGGGAGAGCUGGGUUCGAAUGUCGCCUCUGCGCCGUGAGUCAUGGUUUGGCUUGGGGACCAAUGUGUGUUUACAGACAGAUGUGAGCUUCCAAGUCUUCUUUAAAGUGAGUAAUAUUCUAGCUAACAUCUGUGCUGGAGUGGUAAAUGAUAUUUUAAAAAAUAUAUUUAUAAACUUUUUUUAAAAAGUAUAUUAAAAAACAACAACAGGCAUUAGGGGGUUGGUUUAUCAUGAAGGACGUCACAAGCACUACCCGAUAGGUUGCUCCAUCUCAUGGCCCAUGUUUGGGAGAUGACAUAUUUUCCCAGUGAUGGAACACAGCGAUGACCACACAAUAGAUGUGGUUCUUUGGGGAAUGACGUUCGGACCUCCCACAAUGCAUGAGUAAAUGCUACAUGUUUCUUUAUGCGCAGGAAGAACCCCGCAGAGCUGCCAGCUUUUCGUUUGUCAAAACACGGCCUGCUGGUGCUUCUGAGCAUAUACAGAGUGCACCUGUCCCAAGGUAUUCCUUUUUCAGAAGAAAAGUGCCGUUUAGACAGGUGCCAAGAACCAAUGAUCUGAGCGUGUGCAAAGUGGCAAUCCUCUCUGGCCGGAGGUGGGUCUUAUAAAGGAUACAUGACUACACUGCUUUUGAACAUGGACACAUGUGUUGAAUUUGUACUAGAGAAGCGUCUUUCAGAUGCCCAAUAUGGGGGAGGAAUGAUGCCCACUGGGUGACCUUGGGCAAAGGCACCCUUUAUUAUCCGAACCUAGGGUUGCCGUAUUUCAAAAAGUAAAAAAACCAGGACACCCCAAAAAUCUGGACGUAGUUCUGAAUGCGAAAGACGACCGGCUCCUUGGAGAAAAAUAAAUAAGAGAAGCAGC